AUACUUGUACAGUCGAGUGCCUGAAUGUGAGACAUUCAGUGACAGGCAAGAAUUGAGGCCAGAGAUAAACAUUAAUAAUAUAUGAGAGCAUUCUUAGAGAGAAACUAAAUCAAAAGAUUGUACUUACUGUCUCAACUAUUUUCCAUCUGUCUCGUUGUCAUAUAGGGAGUGAAGGGUGAGAGAGGCUUUGCUGGUCCGAUGGGGGACAAGGGUGAUGAGGGGUCCCCAGGUGUGCCAGGAUUGCCUGGAUCCACAGGCCGCAUGGGUCCACAGGGACUUAUUGGCAGACCAGGACCUGUUGGGUCCUCAGGACCAAAGGGAGAACGGGGUAGCGAAGGACCGCAAGGCAGACCUGGACCUCCUGGACCCCCUGUAAGUUCUGAAUUAAAGUGUGCAUUUUCUACACCACUAGAAAUUGCAAACAUAAUUGCAAAAAUAACGAAUGCUUUCCUACAGGUUUCCAUAACUCUUCCCACUGUCUGUCGCUGGUCGCCAAACAGAUAGCUCCGCCCCAAUCUAGCAUCACAUGGUUGGAGUUUUGAAUACAAUAAGCAAUGUUUUGCACCAGUAUUUAUCCUUUUUUGGUAAAUCAGCCUACAAGUGGUAAAUUCAUAGUUCUCUCUGCAUAUAAAGAUGGAAUGGGAAAACAAUUUUACAUAGAAAAAAAAAAUCAGCUAUAAAUGAGAUGGGUAUAAGUGAGAUGGGUAUUUGAUUAAAGUGUGCUUUAAUCAAAUAAUAUACUUUUUUGAAUACUUAUAUUUGUAGUUUCAUACAAGUUCAGACCUAAAUAUUAGCUUCAGCAGCCCACGUAACCAUGUGGCUGUCAUUUCGGUGAACAUGAAAUAUGCAAAAUCUAUUUUCUUCAACACUCCAGCUCAUUUCAGACAUACAUAAGAAAAUGAAAAACUGAAAUGUAUACAGUAUGCAAUGCUCUAAUACAUUAAAUUGACAGCCAUAAUUUUAUAACCACAUUAGUGGCCCAAGAAAUCCAAACAAAAUGAAAAUUUUAGACUCCUAUUAUAUAUUGUUUCCCUUAUGAUUUUAUAGCUUGGUGAAUGAUAAAUAAUAAGAAGAAUCUCAUUGACUUGUAUUUGAAGGAGGAACCUAUGACAUAUCUGGAAACCAUAAUAUCAUAUUGAUUUGGGAGGGUUAUUUCGACUUGAGCCAAUAAGCAACCACCUAGCAACAUGCUAAAAAUCUUGUAAAUGUGUUCUUUUCAGGGUGUCCCAUAUGCAGAGGGCAAUGGGAUGAGCAGUCUCUAUAAGCUUCAGGUAAAACUUUAACCUGAUACUAAAACACAAUCACAGUAUUUUAGUAUGUAAUAUAUGUCAUAUUGUUCACACUUCAUAAACUGCAAUAAUCCUUUUUAUUAUUUACAGAAUGGCGCAGCUAAUACAGGUCAACCUGGACCACCAGGGCCCCCGGUAUGUGUCGUAUUUUUUAAAUUAUGUCCCAUAUUUAAUAAAUAGCUCUUUGAACGUAACCCA
ensembl:lncRNA